CGGUUGAUCCNGCCGGAGGUCACUGCUAUUGGGAUUCGACUAAGCCAUGCGAGUCGAGAGGGUUCGGCCCUCGGCUGACGGCUCAGUAACACGUGGAUAAUCUGCCNUAAGGUGGAGGAUAACCUCGGGAAACUGAGAAUAAUACUCCAUAGGUCUAGGAGGCUGGAAUGCAUCUAGACCUAAAGCUCCGGCGCCUAAGGAUGAGUCUGCGGACUAUCAGGUUGUAGUCAGGGUAAAGACCUGACUAGCCUACGACGGAUACGGGUUGUGAGAGCAAUAAACCCGGAGACGAUAUCUGAGACACGAUAUCGGGNCCNUACGGGGCGCAGCAGGCGCGAAACCUUCACACUGCGCGAAAAGCGUGAUGAGGGGAUCCCAAGUGCUAGCACGUAAGUGUUAGCUGUUUUCCUAGUCUAAAAAACUGGGAGAGUAAGAGCUGGGUAAGACGGGUGCCAGCCGCCGCGGUAAUACCUGCAGCUCGAGUGGUGACCGCUAUUAUUGGGCCUAAAACGUCCGUAGCCUGUUUAGUAAAUGCUUGGGUAAAUUGUGUAGCUUAACUAUACAGAUACCGGGUAGACUGCUAAACUUGGGACCGGGAGAGGCUAGAGGUACUCCUGGGGUAGAGGUGAAAUUCUGUAAUCCUGGGGGGACCACCAGUGGCGAAGGCGUCUAGCUAGAACGGGUCUGACGGUGAGGGACGAAGCCCUGGGGCGCAAACCGGAUUAGAUACCCGGGUAGUCCAGGGUGUAAACGCUGCUUGCUUGAUGUUAGUUGGGCUCUGAGCCCGAUUAGUGUCGGAGAGAAGUUGUUAAGCAAGCUGCCUGGGAAGUACGGUCGCAAGGCUGAAACUUAAAGGAAUUGGCGGGGGAGCAC
rnacentral:rRNA from 1 species